CAGCAGCCACGGUAAUACGGAGGGUGCAAGCGUUAAUCGGAAUUACUGGGCGUAAAGCGCACGCAGGCGGUCUGACAAGUCAGAUGUGAAAUCCCCGGGCUUAACCUGGGAACUGCAUUUGAAACUGUCAGGCUGGAGUCUUGUAGAGGGGGGUGGAAUUCCAGGUGUAGCGGUGAAAUGCGUAGAGAUCUGGAGGAAUACCGGUGGCGAAGGCGGCCCCCUGGACAAAGACUGACGCUCAGGUGCGAAAGCGUGGGGAGCAAACAGGAUUAGAUACCCGGGUAGUCCCUGUCUCUUAUAC
rnacentral:rRNA from 1 species